AUACAGAGGGUGCGAGCGUUAAUCGGAAUUACUGGGCGUAAAGCGUACGUAGGCGGUUCGUUAAGUUAGAUGUGAAAGCCCCGGGCUUAACCUGGGAACUGCAUUUAAAACUGGCGAACUAGAGUUGAGUAGAGGGGAGUGGAAUUUCAGGUGUUGCGGUGAAAUGCGUAGAGAUCUGAAGGAACACCAGUGGCGAAGGCGACUCCCUGGACUCGAACUGACGCUGAGGUACGAAAGCGUGGGUAGCAAACGGGAUUAGAAACCCUAGUAGUCC
rnacentral:rRNA from 1 species